ensembl:snRNA U6 U6 spliceosomal RNA
GUGGCCCGUAUUCAGCAGCACAUAGACUAAAAUUGAAAUGAUAUAGAAAAGAUUAGCAUGGCCCCUGUGCCAGUUCUUUAUAGAUGUUUGAUAGCAGUCACUUGUUGAA